rnacentral:lncRNA from 1 species
CUGGAGUGUCCUCCUGACAGCAACUGGCCUUUCCCAGAGAGAGUGAUCCAACAGAGAGAGCAAGUAGGAUAUAGCUGCGCCUUUCAUGACAGCCUCAGAAGCCACAAAUCACCGUGUCUGCUAUGUUUUAUUCAUCAGAAGUGAGUCGCUGAGUCCAACCAUAUUCACAGGGAGGCAAAGACCUCAGAUGGACAGAAUUCAACUCAUCACAUUUCUUGGUUCUUGACACGCUCUCCUCGUUAGUCCAUCACAUAUUGCACGGAUUCAUUCAUAUCGCUGCAUGUAGGCUGCUUUGACCUGCUGUAGAAUAUCUCAUUGUGUGGAUGCACAUGUGGAUCACUGAGUAUGUCAGAGCUGGCAAGAUACGUCAGAAGAGAAAGGAGAAACUCUUAACUAAAUAGAGUUGGAAAUAAAAUAAUUGUCUGUAUGGAAUAAGAUCAAAGGUCCCACAUGUUAAAGUCAACCCCAGAUGAAUUAAAGUCUUACAUGUCAAAAAAAAUUGAAACUUUUAGAAGAAAAUUAAGGUGGAUAUAUUUUAGACCUUAAGGUAGAGAAAGAUUUCUUAAAGAAGACACUUACAGGAUUGAUUACAAACAAAAAGACUGGUACAUUUGAAUGUAUUAUGUUAAGAACUUUUCCACCAAAAGAAAGCCUCGAUUUCCUCAUUUUUAAGAUGAGGAUAAUAAUCCCUACCUUAUAGAAUUCUAAUAAGAUGAAAUGAAGCAACAUAUACAAAAUACUUAGCACAGAUCCUAACACCUACAAAAUAAUAAAUGGUAACGAUUAUUAUUCUUCUCAAACAACAAUCCUAUUAUUUAUCAAAUAAUACUGAGUAAUAUGACAAGACAUAUUUAAACCACACAAGCCAUAUGCAGACAAGUGUUUAAUAUCAUAGUGAUAGUUUCAAGAGAGAGAUAAUAAUUUAUUCUACAUUUAUCAGAGGUCUAUAGCCCAGUAGUCAAUAAAUACUUAUCUAUAGUCAAUAAGUACUAUCAAGCAUCCAUGCCAGGAACCAUGCUAGGGGCUGAUUAAUUUACAUCAAUCACCAUGACUUUUUUCCCACAAACUAACACACACACAAUCUUCAUAGAUUUUUCUGUGAUCACAGCAAGGAAAAGACCUACGCAUGUUUGGAUCAUCUGUGUACAGUCCUACAGAAGAACUUUGACACUAUCAGAGACAGAAAUCUCAGAAUAGUCCAACUCUCACUUAUUUGUGCUAAUGAAAGAGUAAAGUAAAAGAGACAAUUAAAAUGGGAAAUGUGUUUUGUUUUGUUUUGGUGUUUUGUUUUACAAGUAUGCAAAAACCUCAAAUCAACCUGACCCAACAAUAAGGAAGCAAGUCAGAAAAAGGCAGUCUUCCAGAGCUGUUUGUUCAGCAGCUCAGUAAUGCCAUGAAGGUUUGCUUCCUUUCUCUGCUUUGUGUUUCUGGAGAGAGUCCGCAUACAUUUCAAUAUGGCUGACAGCAGUUCUGGAAUGUAUAAAGCCUUGCAUAAAGAAAAUGACAGUUCACUAUGAAAAUCUGAUUCGGAUGAUGUUGAAAAUAGAUUUAGUGUCUGCUCUGCCUCUCUGUUUUCUAGGACUUCACCACCUCACAGACUUUGUACACUCAUGGUUCACAACUUCCUCACUGUGUUUUCUUUAACGAGUAGAAGAUAAAUAAGCUUUAAGAAAUAGUAAAUUAUAUCAAAAUAGACUUUAUCAUAUAAUUUGCCUAAUUAUGUACCUUCAGUAAGUGUUUAUUGAACUCUGGGGUGUCAACAAUUUUUUAUUCAGCUCUCAUAAGUAAUAUUUGCUUAGAAAUCUACCCAUAAAUAGGAUAACAACUUUCAUAAAACAAGAAUUUAUACCUAGCUAACAUGAAAAAGCUAAACAUCCCUUGAAGUACAAUUCUCCUGAAAAUCAUCCCAAUAUGGUUUAUUGAGGCUGAUGGAUUUGGACACCAGCUCUUAAGAAAAAAGAUAAAGAGGAAAGCUACUGCCUGCCACAACAUAUUCUUUUUCCCAAGAGCUGGUAAGUUUCUUCCAUAUGUGGAAUCCAAUAACGUUCGGAACAUUCUUUUCUCUUUCUGGUAAUGUGAUAUACCCAACGUGGGCCUAUGAUACAAGGAAGGAGAGUAGAUCAGGAGUCAAAAACCACAGGUCCUAGUUCUGGUUCUAUCAUUUCUUUGCUGUGAAAGUCUGGACCAGUGACUUCAUAGCUCUGAGUUUCUGUUGUGUCAUUCUUCAAGUCAGGUCAUCAUUUGCCUUCCCUACUUCACAGGUAGUAUACAGUAAUCUUUUCAAAAGCCCUUUAGAGGACAUAACACAACCUUAUGUUUAUUUUCUGCUAGAGCAUGACUCCCUUGAGGGCUUGGAGCAUGUCUUAAUCAAAUUUGUAUAUUCCACCAUUCCUACCCCAGACCUAUUAUUAGGUGCUCAAUAAAUGUUGAUUUUAAAUGACAGCUGUCAUGAAAUAAAUGAAAACAGAAGCCAACAGUGACGGUUUGAGCUGCCUGCUGGCUGGCAUGUGACACUUAACAUCUAAAGAGUGAUAGUGGCAGCUAAAGUGCGGAAGGAAUCCACUUUAUGAAACUAUCUGAGCAGUGAAGCACUGGAAAUCACAGAGUCUCCUUUUGGCUAUUUUACAUUUAGAUAUGAAAGCUUGUCAGGCUGGGCUGAGAAUAGACAAUGAGAAACUAACACAUUUCAACAGGUUUUGAAUAGUUUCCCAGUGAAGAAUUUUCCUGGCCUCUCUCCACCCUGGUUUUUAUCCCUCUUCUUGGGAGUUAUUUUUCGCAAAUGUACCCCAUGAUUGGCAAAUUUCAGAAGAAUAACUGGGGUUGGCUCAGUUCAGCUCCUCCCCGUCCUUCUCCUGAGUCUGCUUCCAAAGGCAAUCUGCAAGGGAGGAAUAAAGCAACUCAGGGAAGGGAAAAAGAGAUGUGAAGAAGGAAAGAAAUUGGAAGACCCAAAACAACAUGAUGGUUAGUAGAGCUAAUGAAAAUGAGGAAGCUCCAAUAAUAUCUGGUUUUUUUUCUCUGACUUUGUGAAAACCAUUUGUUAUUAUGAUACGACAAUGUAAUCAAUGGUACUCAGUAAAGUCAGUACCCCAAAAUUCGGCCAGGUGUCAUGGCUUUUUGUGUAUGGUUGUCCUGGGAAUUAAAGGAGAAGGAAGGGGCUGUGCCCCUGUAGGGGAGAUGAUGUGCAGAAACGGACGGUAUACACAGGAGGAAAGACAAUGAGAAAAGAUAAAGAAAGAAUUCACUAAAAGCAGGGACUUGGAGCUAGAGA